CAAUAGCGUAUAUUAAAGUUGUUGCAGUUAAAAAGCUCGUAGUUGGAUUUCGGGACGGGCCAGUUGGUCCGCCGCAAGGUGUGUUACUGACUGGUCUGUUCUUCUUCGCAAAGACUGCGUGUGCUCUUCGUUGAGUGUGCGUAGGAUUUACGACGUUUACUUUGAAAAAAUUAGAGUGUUCAAAGCAGGCUAUCGCUUGAAUACAUGAGCAUGGAAUAAUGGAAUAGGACUUUGGUCCUAUUUUGUUGGUUUCUAGGACCGAAGUAAUGAUUAAGAGGGACAAUUGGGGGCAUCCGUAUUUCGCUGUCAGAGGUGAAAUUCUUGGAUUUACGAAAGACGAACAACUGCGAAAGCACUUGCCAAGAGUGUUUUCAUUAA
rnacentral:rRNA from 1 species